UAGGGAAUCUUCCACAAUGGACGCAAGUCUGAUGGAGCAACGCCGCGUGAGUGAAGAAGGUUUUCGGACCGUAAAGCUCUGUUGUUGGUGAAGAAGGAUAGAGGUAGUAACUGGCCUUUAUUUGACGGUAAUCAACCAGAAAGUCACGGCUAACUACGUGCCAGCAGCCGCGGUAAUACGCAAGGUGGCAAGCGUUGUCCGGAUUUAUUGGGCGUAAAGCGAGCGCAGGCGGAAGAAUAAGUCUGAUGUGAAAGCCCUCGGCUUAACCGAGGAAUUGCAUCGGAAACUGUUUUCUUGAGUGCAGAAGAGGAGAGUAGAACUCCAUGUGUAGCGGUGGAAUGCGUAGAUAUAUGGAAGAAUACCAGUGGCGAAGGCGGCUCUCUGGUCUGCAACUGACGCUGAGGCUCGAAAGCAUGGGUAGCGAACAGGAUUAGAUACCCUGGUAGUCCAUGCCGUAAACGAUGAGUGCUAAGUGUUGGGAGGCUUCCGCCUCUCAGUGCUGCAGCUAACGCAUUAAGCACUCCGCCUGGGGGAGUACGACCGCAAGGUUGAAAC
rnacentral:rRNA from 1 species